UAGGGAAUAUUGCACAAUGGGGAAGACCCUGAUGCAGCGACGCCGCGUGAAGGAAGAAGUAUCUCGGUAUGUAAACUUCUAUCAGCAGGGAAGACAAUGACGGUACCUGACUAAGAAGCCCCGGCUAACUACGUGCCAGCAGCCGCGGUAAUACGUAGGGGGCAAGCGUUAUCCGGAUUUACUGGGUGUAAAGGGAGCGUAGACGGCGAUGCAAGUCUGGAGUGAAAACCCAGGGCUCAACUCUGGGAUUGCUUUGGAAACUGUAUAGCUGGAGUGCAGGAGAGGCAGGCGGAAUUCCUAGUGUAGCGGUGAAAUGCGUAGAUAUUAGGAGGAACACCAGUGGCGAAGGCGGCCUGCUGGACUGAGACUGACGUUGAGGCUCGAAGGCGUGGGGAGCAAACAGGAUUAGAUACCC
rnacentral:rRNA from 1 species